rnacentral:rRNA from 1 species
AAGUCGUAACAAGGUCUCCGUUGGUGAACCAGCGGAGGGAUCAUUACAGAGUUGCAAAACUCCCAACCAUUGUGAACCUACCUCACCGUUGCUUCGGCGGGUGGCGCUCCCUCACCCGGAGCGCCGCGCCGGCCCCUCCCCGGGGCCCGGCAACCCGUCAGAGGCCCGCAACUCUUAGUCAUCAUUGGCCUCUCUGAGUAACUUAUACAAUAAGUCAAAACUUUCAACAACGGAUCUCUUGGUUCUGGCAUCGAUGAAGAACGCAGCGAAAUGCGAUACGUAAUGUGAAUUGCAGAUUUCAGUGAAUCAUCGAAUCUUUGAACGCACAUUGCGCCCGCUAGUAUUCUGGCGGGCAUGCCUGUUCGAGCGUCAUUUCAACCAUCAAGCCCUAAGCUUGCGUUGGAGCCCUGCGGCUGCCGCAGGCUCCCAAAUCCAGUGGCGGGCUCGUCGUCGUACCGAGUGCAGUAAACAUCCUCGCUCAGGGGACGUGACGGGUUCUCGCCGUGAAACCCCCCACAUAUCAAGGUUGACCUCGGAUCAGGUAGGAAUACCCGCUGAACUUAAGCAUAUCAAUAAGCGGAGGAAAAGAAACCAACAGGGAUUGCCCCAGUAACGGCGAGUGAAGCGGCAACAGCUCAAAUUUGAAAUCUGGCCUCGGCCCGAGUUGUAAUUUGUAGAGGAAGCUUCUGGUGCGGCGCCGUCCGAGUCUCCUGGAACGGAGCGCCAUAGAGGGUGAGAGCCCCGUAUGGACGGAUGCCAAACCUGUGUGAAGCUCCUUCGACGAGUCGAGUAGUUUGGGAAUGCUGCUCUAAAUGGGAGGUAAAUUCCUUCUAAAGCUAAAUAUUGGCCAGAGACCGAUAGCGCACAAGUAGAGUGAUCGAAAGAUGAAAAGCACUUUGAAAAGAGGGUUAAACAGCACGUGAAUUUGUUGAAAGGGAAGCGCUUGUGACCAGACUUGAGCGCGGCGGAUCAUCCGGUGUUCUCACCGGUGCACUCCGCCGCGCCCAGGCCAGCAUCGGUUUCCGCGGGGGGACAAAGGUCCCGGGAACGUAGCUCCUCCGGGAGUGUUAUAGCCCGGGGCGUAAUGCCCCCGUGGGGACCGAGGACCGCGCAUCUGCAAGGAUGCUGGCGUAAUGGUCAUCAGCGACC